UACGUAGGGUGCGAGCGUUGUCCGGAAUUACUGGGCGUAAAGAGUUCGUAGGCGGUUUGUCGCGUCGUUCGUGAAAACUUGGGGCUUAACUCCAAGCGUGCGGGCGAUACGGGCAGACUUGAGUACUACAGGGGAGACUGGAAUUCCUGGUGUAGCGGUGAAAUGCGCAGAUAUCAGGAGGAACACCGGUGGCGAAGGCGGGUCUCUGGGCCUUACCUGACGCUGAGGAGCGAAAGCGUGGGGAGCGAACAGG
rnacentral:rRNA from 1 species